AUCUCAUGGACUGCCCUAUGGCCGACCUAAUCGUAAAAAACACAGUGAAUCAAGGCCUGCAAAGGGAUCCAACCCUUGCUGCGGGGAUUCUGAGGUUGCAUUUCCAUGACUGCUUCGUACAGGGUUGUGAUGGAUCAGUUCUUAUUGAUUCCACAAAGGAUAACCUUGCAGAGAAGGACUCUCCUGCAAACCUUAGCCUUCGUGGGUACGAGCUCAUCGACCAAGCCAAGCAAAAUGUUGAAGAUCAAUGCCCUGGAGCUGUCUCAUGUGCUGACAUCCUUGCAAUGGCAGCAAGGGAUGUCGUCUUCUGGAGUGGAGGUCCUUAUUAUGAAAUACCCAAAGGUA
rnacentral:misc_RNA from 1 species